GAGGAUCCCAGUUGCUUCUUCCAGUACUAGAAGCGAAAAGAAGUAAAGACUGCAAUGAUCAUGGAGCAUGAGGAUGGGAAUUCAAAAUCGUGCAGUGGUGCUGAUGUGGAUUCCUGAGGCUCUGGGACAGGACCAUUCACACAGGAGUCUGGCAUUCAUAUAUACGGACAACAUUGAAAAAUCCCUUAUAAAAUGGGUUUUGUUAUGGCCUGAAGAUGCAGCUUAUCACAGGUCACCUUUGGGGGUAAAAAAAUGUCCAUUUUGGAAGUGUGAAACGACAGGCUUGUCCAACAUAAGCACGAGCAGCUGUGAAGAUCAGCCUGAAGGCCUGGAGGAGAUGGCCUGCCAUAUGGGAUUCCCAAAGCUCUCCCUGUACCUAUUCACUGCAGCAGCAACAAUGCACAAAAUGCUGAUGGGAAGAGUGAGCACUAAUUGCUUCUGAACUCUACUGUUUUAUGGCCUAAAGUUUACUUCCCAUGUCCAGUAAGGUCAUCAUUCAGUGAUCCUUUAUAAUGCUUUUGUGCUAAAACCAGCCUUUACUGUGUUUAAAUGUAAUGUGGGGGGAAAAGCUGGAACUCAAAGAAGUCCCUUCCAUGUAUGUGUGAUGAGAUGUCUCAGCAAGGAGACUGGUGACACUUUAAGGGCAGCAUUAAUUGCAGUCAUUUCCAUGGGGCUUGGCUCCAGCACACACAGGGAGUGUCCCCUCCCCAAGUAUUUGGGGUCCACAGG
rnacentral:lncRNA from 12 species